GCACCAGAGGUAAAGCUCCAAAAGCCACGCCAAUCAGUGAUGAUUUAGUAGAUGGUCUGAAAUGCGGGUACACGAUAUUACGUGCAUGCAGCCACCUGCGACAAGGUCACUCAGGGGUCAAGAUUCACAGCAAGAAGGUCGCUGUUUCGAGUCCCGGCUGGGUCAGUUGGCAUUUCUGUGUGGAGUUUGCAUUUUCCCCCUGUGAGUUUCUUCCAGGCGCUCAGGUUUCAGUCCCAAGACAUGCGCUACAGCAACAUCUUGCUGCCGGCGGAUUUUGCAGUGAUGGAAUUCUGUCUUCUUGGU
rnacentral:lncRNA from 1 species